rnacentral:rRNA from 1 species
UACAGAGGUCCCAAGCGUUGUUCGGAUUCACUGGGCGUAAAGGGUGCGUAGGCGGUUGGGUAAGUCUGUCGUGAAAUCUCCGAGCCUAACUCGGAAACUGCGUCGGAUACUAUUCAACUCGAGGAAUGGAGGGGAGACUGGAAUUCCCGGUGUAGCAGUGAAAUGCGUAGAUAUCGAGAGGAACACCAGUGGCGAAGGCGAGUCUCUGGACAUUUCCUGACGCUGAGGCACGAAAGCCAGGGGAGCAAACGGG